rnacentral:rRNA from 1 species
GGGAUUGCCUCAGUAACGGCGAGUGAAGCGGCAACAGCUCAAAUUUGAAAUCUGGUCUUCCGGGGCCCGAGUUGUAAUUUGUAGAGAGUGCUUCGGGCGAGACCAUGGUCUAAGUUCAUUGGAACAUGGCGUCAUAGAGGGUGAGAAUCCCGUAUGUGACUGUGGCUCGAGCCCAUGUGAAGCCUCUUCGACGAGUCGAGUUGUUUGGGAAUGCAGCUCAAAAUGGGUGGUAAAUUUCAUCUAAAGCUAAAUACUGGCUGGAGACCGAUAGCGCACAAGUAGAGUGAUCGAAAGAUGAAAAGCACUUUGGAAAGAGAGUCAAACAGUACGUGAAAUUGUUGAAAGGGAAGCGCUUGCAACCAGACCUGCCCGUGGGUGAUCAGCCGCUGUUCUCAGCGGUGCACUCGCUCCACGAUCAGGCCAGCAUCGGUUUCGGCGGUCGGAUAAAGGCCUUGGGAAUGUAGCUUCCCUUCGGGGGAGUCUUAGAGCCCUCGGUGCAAUGCGGCCAGCCGGGACCGAGGACCGCGCUUCGGCUAGGAUGCUGGCGUAAUGGUUGCAAGCGACCCGUCUUGAAACACGGACCAAGGAGUCUAACAUCUAUGCGAGUGUUUGGGUGUCAAACCCAUGCGCGGAAUGAAAGUGAACGGAGGUGAGAACCCUUAAGGGCGCAUCAUCGACCGAUCCAGAUGUCCUCGGAUGGAUUUGAGUAUGAGCAUAGCUGUUGGGACCCGAAAGAUGGUGAACUAUGCCUGAAUAGGGUGAAGCCAGAGGAAACUCUGGUGGAGGCUCGCAGCGGUUCUGACGUGCAAAUCGAUCGUCGAAUUUGGGUAUAGGGGCGAAAG